rnacentral:rRNA from 1 species
GCUACGGGAGGCUGCAGUGGGGAAUCUUGCGCAAUGGGCGAAAGCCUGACGCAGCCAUGCCGCGUGAAUGAUGAAGGUCUUAGGAUUGUAAAAUUCCUUCACCGGGGACGAUAAUGACGGUACCCGGAGAAGAAGCCCCGGCUAACUUCGUGCCAGCAGCCGCGGUAAUACGACGGGGGCUAGCGUUGCUCGGAAUUACUGGGCGUAAAGGGCGCGUAGGCGGACAUUUAAGUCAGGGGUGAAAUCCCAGAGCUCAACUCUGGAACUGCCUGUGAGACUGGGUGUCUUGAGUGUGAGAGAGGUAUGUGGAACUCCGAGUGUACAGGUCCACGUCAUAGAUAUUCAACCAAACACCACUUCCCAAGGCGACAUACUGGCUCAUUACUGACGCUGAGGCGCGAAAGCGUGGGGAGCAAACAGGAUUAGAUACCCGAGUAGUC